rnacentral:tRNA from 1 species
UAGACUGUAGCUCAGUGGUAGAGCAUCUGCUUUGAAUGCAGAAGGUACCAGGUUCAGUCCCCAGCAACUCCGGGUAAGGCUAG